CAGAGGGUAGUUUAAUUAAAAUGUUAAAUUUGGGGUUUAAAAAUAGGGAAACUUCCUUCCUCUGA
rnacentral:tRNA from 1 species